rnacentral:sRNA from 1 species
UACACAAUUGAAAAGCUUGAGAAAAACCGA